UGAACACAAAAUGGCGACACGUGGUUAGCAUUCGUCGCCAACGAGAAAUUGGGGUCGGCCCGAAAGCUCUAGAAUGCACCCCUCUUCCUCCCCGGGGCCUUCCACCUCCGCGAGUUUUAUGACUUAAAAAAGCCCACAGGCUGGUCUGAAGAGGAAGACAAACAUAAAGAUGAAGUGCUUAAUUCAAGGUCACACAAUGUCGGGGAUGGACCUCCAGAUUUCCUUACUGACCUGCAUUAUCUUGUGGAUACCUGAGUGAAUUCCACACCACCCAUUUUAUAGAUGAAACCACUGAGACAUGGAGCAAUUGACUGAGUAGUCACUGCCCCACCCCUGCCUGGAGCCUCACACAUGACUCGCCUCCUCUCAGUGACCACAGGUGAGACGUGGUCUUGUAACACAGUGGUUAAGAAUGUGACUUUGGAGCCAGCCUGCUAGGGGCUGAAUUCUGACUCAGCCAUUUACUAACUGUGUGACCUUAGGUGGAGUCUCACUCUGUAGCCCAAGCUGGAGUGGCGUGAUCUCGACUCACUGCAACCUCCGCCUC
rnacentral:lncRNA from 10 species